rnacentral:tRNA from 1 species
GCUGGCGUAGCUCAAUGGUAGAGCGCCCGCCUUGUAAGCGGGGGGUUGUGAGUUCGACUCUCACCGCCAGCUCCA